GGCGACAUAGCCAAGCGGUAAGGAAGAGGAAUGCAAAUCCUCCAUCCCUAGUUCGAAUCUGGGUGUCGCCU
rnacentral:tRNA from 1 species